UUAAAGUAGGGCAUGAGGAGGGCUUUGCGUGAGAAAAAAUUCAUGAGAACUUCCUUCUUGUGAAUUCAAAUGGGCACAGUGGAAGUGAGGUGGCGCAGGGAGAAUGGGUCAAGGUGGUUUCAUUAUUUAAACCAACCUAAUUGAACUAAAUAAGUUAGGCCCAAUUAGACUAAUUUAAAUUCAACUAAAUUAGGCUUAAUUAGGCUCAAUAAAAUCCUAAUCAAAUCAAAAAUUGAUUAAGCCCAACCCCUGAUCAAAUCAGGGACCAAACCAUCUCGACGAUUAGGUCAACUCUUAACCUAAUCGGGUCAAACCCAACUGAAUCCAAUUCAAUUGGACUUGAUUCAAAAAUAAUUACUCAAUCAAAUUGAGUUAAUUAGUGAUCAAAUCAGUAAUUAAACUUCUCAUAAAUAUUGAGUCCAAAUUCGAUGGGUAAUCGGACAUCAGAAUUCAUCGAUAUGUAACCC
rnacentral:lncRNA from 1 species